ACGCUGGCGGCGUGCUUAACACAUGCAAGUCGAACGGAAAGGCCCCUUUGGGGGUACUCGAGUGGCGACCGGGUGAGUAACACGUGAGUAACCUGCCCUUGACUUCGGGAUAACUUCAGGAAACUGGGGCUAAUACCGGAUAGGAAUCCUUGCUGCAUGGUGGGGGUUGGAAAGCUUCGGCGGUUUUGGAUGGACUCGCGGCUUAUCAGCUUGUUGGUGGGGUAGUGGCUUACCAAGGCUUUGACGGGUAGCCGGCCUGAGAGGGCGACCGGCCACAUUGGGACUGAGAUACGGCCCAGACUCCUACGGGAGGCAGCAGUGGGGAAUAUUGCACAAUGGGCGGAAGCCUGAUGCAGCAACGCCGCGUGCGGGAUGACGGCCUUCGGGUUGUAAACCGCUUUCAGCAGGGGCGAAGCUUGUGGUGACGGUACCUGCAGAAGAAGCACCGGCUAACUACGUG
rnacentral:rRNA from 1 species